rnacentral:rRNA from 1 species
GACGAACGCUGGCGGCGUGCUUAACACAUGCAAGUCGAACGAAGUGGCGAACGGGUGAGUAACGCGUCAUCAACCUGCCCCUCAGAGGGGGACAACAGUUGGACACGACUGCUAAUACCGCAUACUGAAGGAGGGGAUUGCGUCUGAUUAGCUAGUUGGAGGGUUAACGGCCCACCAAGGCGAUGAUCAGUAGCCGGUCUGAGAGGAUGAACCGCCAAAAUGGGACUGAGACACGGCCCAGACUCCUACGGGAGGCAGCAGGGGGGAAUCUUCCGCAAUGGACGAAAGUCUGACGGAGCAACGCCGCGUGGGUGAUGACGGCCUUCGGGUUGUAAAGCUCUGUUAGUCGGGACGCGGUACCGGAAUAGAAAGCCACGGCUAACUACGUGCCAGCAGCCGCGGUAAUUC